ACAGCAGCCGCCGCGGGAAAACGGAGGGUGCAAGCGUUAUCCGGAUUUAUUGGGUUUAAAGGGUCCGUAGGCGGAUCUGUAAGUCAGUGGUGAAAUCUCACAGCUUAACUGUGAAACUGCCAUUGAUACUGCAGGUCUUGAGUAAAUUUGAAGUGGCUGGAAUAAGUAGUGUAGCGGUGAAAUGCAUAGAUAUUACUUAGAACACCAAUUGCGAAGGCAGGUCACUAAGAUUUAACUGACGCUGAUGGACGAAAGCGUGGGGAGCGAACAGGAUUAGAUACCCGUGUAGUCCCUGUCUCUUAUAC
rnacentral:rRNA from 1 species